UUUUUCUCCAACAGGAAAACACAGGAAAGAGAAUGAAGACAAAGGUGUGAACAGUUCAAAUGACAGGCUAUGGAAUGAGUCAUUUGGGCUUCGGGAAAUUAUCAAACGCUCCACAUGAAAAUCAAAAACGUAUGCCAGGACAUGAGGGUUCAACACCACGUUACCAAGUAAACGGUUUUCCUAUAAAGGCAGAGCCGACAGUUGAUACUCCUGUGAGUGUUUAUGACUCUGGAUUUUUUAACCUUUCCAUUUCAGGGCUUUGGGCGGUGUUUCUGCACUUAGGAGAUGUGUGGAAGGAGCAACAGCAGAUUUCCAGCUGCAGACGCCCCAGCGCCUCAGGGGGAGCCCGUCUUCCAGAGUCACCGCAACUGCCACAGGGGACUUGUAGGCCAUGUCAAAGGAACAAAGCAUGUCACAUUUUGGACAUGUGGCAUCCUUUGAAUUGCACAGGGGAAGACAACUGGCUCCAAGACUGAAGGCAUCGCCUUAGAAACACAAAAGUGAGAAGUCAACCACACUCAAAAAUCAAUCUUUCCACAAUUGGGUCCUCAUUUUUGACAAAAAUAUAUUCCACUGCAAUUUAAAUAAAGGCAACCAAUACUAUUUCAUUCCAUUUUGUUCAGCAUUUUCAUAGUAUCCUAAACGCUCCAGGAGUUCCACUGAAGAAAAGCAUUUUUUUUUUUUUUUAAUUUAAGAAGAGCCAG
rnacentral:lncRNA from 1 species